CAUCUUAAUAUUUAUUUUCCAAAAUCAGUUAAUCCAGGGCUAUUCUAAUUUUUCCAACACUCUAAAGAGUAUCAACCACUUCCUGAUUGGAGAUAUGUAGUCAUCCUAUCCGUACUGAAUCAAAUUCAUGCAUAGUUGGGCAAGAGCUCAACAGCCUUUACUUCCAGGAAGAAACUUGUUCUUGUUUCUGAUAUAACACCAACACUGCCUGUUUUUUGAUGUCAUUACAG
rnacentral:misc_RNA from 1 species